UCCUCCAUGGCGCAAUUGGCUAGCGCGUCUGACUGUUAAUCAGUAGCUCGAUUAAGCAAUCAGGAGGUUGGUGGUUCGAGCCCACCUGGGGGAG